AACGAACGCUGGCGGCAGGCCUAACACAUGCAAGUCGAGCGCGCCCUCCGGGGUGAGCGGCGGACGGGGGAGUAACGCGUGGGAACGUGCCCUUUUCUACGGAAUAGCCUCGGGAAACUGAGAGUAAUACCGCAUACGCCCUUUGGGGGUAAGAUUUACCGGAACAGGAUCGGCCCGCGUUGGAUUGGGUAGUUGGUGGGGUAAUGGCCUACCAAGCCGACGAUCCAUAGCUGGUUUGGGAGGAUGAUCAGCCACACUGGGACUGAGACACGGCCCAGACUCCUACGGGAGGCAGCGGUUGGGUCUCUUAGACAAUGAAGGCAACCCUGAUCUAGCCGUGCCGCGUAAGUGAUGAAGGCCUUAGGAUUGUAAUUCUCUUUCAGCUGGACAGAUAAUGACGGUACCAGCAGAAGAAGCCCCGGCUAACUCCGUG
rnacentral:rRNA from 1 species